GAUGAACGCUGGCGGCGUGCCUAAUACAUGCAAGUAGAACGCUGAAGGAAGGAGCUUGCUCUUUCCGGAUGAGUUGCGAACGGGUGAGUAACGCGUAGGUAACCUGCCUGGUAGCGGGGGAUAACUAUUGGAAACGAUAGCUAAUACCGCAUAACAGUAGAUGUUGCAUGAUAUCUACUUAAAAGGUGCAAUUGCACCACUACCGGAUGGACCUGCGUUGUAUUAGCUAGUUGGUGAGGUAACGGCUCACCAAGGCGACGAUACAUAGCCGACCUGAGAGGGUGAUCGGCCAAACUGGGACUGAGACACGGCCCAGACUCCUACGGGAGGCAGCAGUAGGGAAUCUUCGGCAAUGGACGGAAGUCUGACCGAGCAACGCCGCGUGAGUGAAGAAGGUUUUCGGAUCGUAAAGCUCUGUUGUAAGAGAAGAACGAGUGUGAGAGUGGAAAGUUCACACUGUGACGGUAUCUUACCAGAAAGGGACGGCUAACUACGUG
rnacentral:rRNA from 1 species